rnacentral:lncRNA from 1 species
GUUAGAAUGUGAUUCCACAUUGGUUGUUCAAUCUUUUUCUAAGCCAUCCUUGGUUCCUUGGAGACUAUAAAAUCGUUGGCUCAAUUGUCUUGAUCUGGUUUCUAAAAUGCAGUUUCGCGUUUCCCACAUUUGUAGAGAAGGGAAUUCUUGCGCGGGCAAGUUAGCUAGCUAUCCAUGGUUUAAUUGUUAGCACCCUUCUUGGUGGGAUUCUAUUCCUACUUUUUGUAUGGUUGAUUAUAUGCACAAUAGGUUAGGUCCACCUAAUUACAGAUUUGGUU